CACACGACUCUCGGGAACGGAUAUCUCGGCUCUCGCAUCGAUGAAGAACGUAGCAAAAUGCGAUACCUGGUGUGAAUUGCAGAAUCCCGUGAACCAUCGAGUUUUUGAACGCAAGUUGCGCCCGAGGCCUUCUGGCUGAGGGCACGCCUGCCUGGGCGUCACGC
rnacentral:rRNA from 1 species